AGUGAACGCUGGCGGUAGGCCUAACACAUGCAAGUCGAACGGCAGCACAGUAAGAGCUUGCUCUUACGGGUGGCGAGUGGCGGACGGGUGAGGAAUACAUCGGAAUCUACUUUUUCGUGGGGGAUAACGUAGGGAAACUUACGCUAAUACCGCAUACGACCUACGGGUGAAAGCAGGGGAACUUCGGACCUUGCGCGAUUGAAUGAGCCGAUGUCGGAUUAGCUAGUUGGCGGGGUAAAGGCCCACCAAGGCGACGAUCCGUAGCUGGUCUGAGAGGAUGAUCAGCGACACUGGAACUGAGACACGGUCCAGACUCCUACGGGAGGCAGCAGUGGGGAAUAUUGGACAAUGGGCGCAAGCCUGAUCCAGCCAUACCGCGUGGGUGAAGAAGGCCUUCGGGUUGUAAAGCCCUUUUGUUGGGAAAGAAAAGCAGCAGGUUAAUACCCCGCUGUUCUGACGGUACCCAAAGAAUAAGCACCGGCUAACUUCGUG
rnacentral:rRNA from 1 species